GGAGGGAUAGGAUAAUUGGUAUUCCACCGCAUUCGAAAUGCGGCGUCCUCACGGACUUGCGAGUUCGAGUCUCGCUCCCUCCGCCA
rnacentral:tRNA from 1 species